GCCUUCGUGGUGUAGUGGUCUGCAUGAUCGACGCGUAACCGAGAGGUCCGUGGUUCGAUUCCCGGCGAAGGCG
rfam:Stegodyphus mimosarum contig78390, whole genome shotgun sequence.